rnacentral:rRNA from 1 species
UACAGAGGUCUCAAGCGUUGUUCGGAUUAAUUGGGCGUAAAGGGCGCGUAGGCUGCGGGGCAAGUCGGGUGUGAAAUCUCAGAGCUCAACUCUGAAACUGCACUCGAUACUGCUUUGCUUGAGGACUGGAGAGGAGAUUGGAAUUCACGGUGUAGCAGUGAAAUGCGUAGAUAUCGUGAGGAAGACCAGUGGCGAAGGCGGAUCUCUGGACAGUUCCUGACGCUGAGGCGCGAAGGCCAGGGGGAGCAAACGGG